AGGAAUGAACGCUAGCGGCAGGCCUAACACAUGCAAGUCGAGGGGUAACAGGGAGCUUGCUCCGCUGACGACCGGCGCACGGGUGCGUAACGCGUAUACAAUCUACCUUUUGCUACGGGAUAGCCCAGAGAAAUUUGGAUUAAUACCGCAUAGUAUAUUGAGAUCGCAUGGUUUUAAUAUUAAAGGUUACGGCAGAAGAUGAGUAUGCGUUCUAUUAGCUAGAUGGUGUGGUAACGGCAUACCAUGGCAACGAUAGAUAGGGGCCCUGAGAGGGGGAUCCCCCACACUGGUACUGAGACACGGACCAGACUCCUACGGGAGGCAGCAGUGAGGAAUAUUGGACAAUGGGCGAGAGCCUGAUCCAGCCAUGCCGCGUGCAGGAAAGACGGCCCUAUGGGUUGUAAACUGCUUUUAUACRGGAAGAAACACUUCUACGUGUAGAGGCUUGACGGUACUGUGAGAAUAAGGAUCGGCUAACUCCGUGCCAGCAGCCGCGGUAAUACGGAGGAUCCAAGCGUUAUCCGGAAUCAUUGGGUUUAAAGGGUCCGUAGGUGGAUAAUUAAGUCAGGGGUGAAAGUCUGCAGCUCAACUGUAGAAUUGCCCUUGAUACUGGUUGUCUUGAGUCAUUAUGAAGUAGUUAGAAUAUGUAGUGUAGCGGUGAAAUGCAUAGAUAUUACAUAGAAUACCAAUUGCGAAGGCAGAUUACUAAUAAUGUACUGACACUGAUGGACGAAAGCGUGGGGAGCGAACAGGAUUAGAUACCCUGGUAGUCCACGCCGUAAACGAUGGAUACUAGCUGUUCGGAUUU
rnacentral:rRNA from 1 species